rnacentral:ncRNA from 2 species
UUCUAGCCCAGAUAGGAGUGAAAAUCCUUGUUCCAAUGCGAGGUGUUGCCUCGAAUGGAGCAAGAUUGCAACGGAUAGCUGGAAAGCGC